rnacentral:rRNA from 1 species
CCCUCUGGGGUGCAGCAGGCUGCGGAUCUCGGACCCGUUGCCGGGGCCGUUGUCACCUUCUGCGCGCACGCGCCAGUAGAGGGUUUUGUUUUUGGACAGGUCCGCUGGCGGAGUGUAGGAACUGUCAGUCACCUUGAUGGAGGAAGCGCUGGACAUGGAGGCGGAAGGCGAGAUCUGGAUGGUGUAAGCGGGGGCGCCGGUCACGUUCUGCCAGUCGACGGUGGGGCGUAGAUUAUCCAGGGCUGCUCCGUUGGCGGGCGAGGAGAGUUCAGGGGCCAGCAUAGCCUCGCGGAAGUAGGAAACCGGGGACCAGCUGGAGUACUGGUCGAGGGAGUUGAAAGCCCGUACGCGCCAGUAAUAGCGGGGGUUGGGGGACAGGUUGGAUGGCAAAGUGAACUCGGAAUUGGCGGGAGAGC